UGGCGGACGGGUGAGUAAUGUCUGGGAAACUGCCUGAUGGAGGGGGAUAACUACUGGAAACGGUAGCUAAUACCGCAUAACGUCGCAAGACCAAAGAGGGGGACCUUCGGGCCUCUUGCCAUCGGAUGUGCCCAGAUGGGAUUAGCUAGUAGGUGGGGUAAAGGCUCACCUAGGCGACGAUCCCUAGUUGGUCUGAGAGGAUGACCAGCCACACUGGAACUGAGACACGGUCCAG
rnacentral:rRNA from 1 species